GCGCACGCUGGCGGCAGGCUUCACACCUGCAAGUCGCGCGGGCCCUUCGGGGUCAGCGGCAGACGGGUGAGUAACACGUGGGAACGUACCCUUUGGUUCGGAAUAACGCUGGGAAACUAGCGCUAAUACCGGAUACGCCCUUUUGGGGAAAGGCUUGCUGCCGAAGGAUCGGCCCGCGUCUGAUUAGCUAGUUGGUGGGGUAAUGGCCUACCAAGGCGACGAUCAGUAGCUGGUCUGAGAGGAUGAUCAGCCACACUGGGACUGAGACACGGCCCAGACUCCUACGGGAGGCAGCAGUGGGGAAUAUUGGACAAUGGGCGCAAGCCUGAUCCAGCCAUGCCGCGUGAGUGAUGAAGGCCUUAGGGUUGUAAAGCUCUUUUGUCCGGGACGAUAAUGACGGUACCGGAAGAAUAAGCCCCGGCUAACUUCGUG
rnacentral:rRNA from 1 species